AUUGAACGCUGGCGGAAUGCUUUACACAUGCAAGUCGAACGGCAGCACGGACUUCGGUCUGGUGGCGAGUGGCGAACGGGUGAGUAAUGUAUCGGAACGUGCCCAGUCGUGGGGGAUAACGUAGUGAAAAUUACGCUAAUACCGCAUACGAUCUAUGGAUGAAAGCGGGGGAUCGCAAGACCUCGCGCGAUUGGAGCGGCCGAUAUCAGAUUAGGUAGUUGGUGGGGGAAAGGGCCACCAAGCCAACGAUCUGUAGCUGGUCUGAGAGGACGACCAGCCACACUGGAAAUGAGAGACGGUCCAGAAUCCUACGGGAGGCAGCAGUGGGCAAUAUUGGACAAUAGGCGAAAGCCUGAUCCAGCCAUUCCGCGUGCAGGAUGAAGGCCCUCGGGUUGUAAACUGCUUUUGUACAGAACGAAAAGGUUUCUACUAAUACUAGGAGCUCAUGACGGUACUGUAAGAAUAAGCACCGGCUAACUACGUGCCAGCCGCCGCGGUAA
rnacentral:rRNA from 1 species